rnacentral:rRNA from 1 species
AGUGAACGCUGGCGGUAGGCCUAACACAUGCAAGUCGAACGGCAGCACAGUAAGAGCUGCCUCUUACGUGGCGCGUGGCGCGCGCGGGUGAGAAACACCUCAGAAUCCACUUUCUCGUGGGGGAAAACGUGGGGAAUCACACUCUUACCCCACAUGACACCUGGGUGUGAGAGCAGGAGAUCUUCAGCUCUUGCGAGUGUAUAUGCCGCGAUGUCGGAUUAGCUAGUUGGCGGGGUAAGGGCCCACCAAGGCGACGAUCCGUAGCUGGUCUGAGAGGAUGAUCAGCCACACUGGAACUGAGACACGGUCCAGACUCCUACGGGAGGCAGCAGUGGGGAAUAUUGGACAAUGGGCGCAAGCCUGAUCCAGCCAUACCGCGUGGGUGAAGAAGGCCUUCGGGUUGUAAAGCCCUUUUGUUGGGAAAGAAAAGCAGCAGGUUAAUACCCCGCGGUUCUGACGGUACCCAAAGAAUAAGCACCGGCUAACUUCGUG